UGACUAUAUCCUCAGCACCUAGAACUGUGUCUGUCACCUAAUAGAUGCUCAAUAAACCUGCCAGUAAUUUCAGCAAAUGAAACGUGGAACACGUCAAGGCCAGAGGAUGGAAAAGGCUCCAGUUUUGAUAAAAGGAGGCCUGCUUGGCUUGGAAUCCUCUCUCCUGCUGGUUGGGAGAUGCAAAGAUGUUUCCAGAGAGGGGCUGAUGAAUUGAGGGGAAAGAAAUGAGCCCAGUAUGAGUCCCCUUUCAGGGCUGAGCGUGUAUAAAACCAAACAACUUGGAACCGCUCCAAGAGAGGGGAUUAAAGCAACAUGUUAUUCUGAGUGAUUGCUUAAUUUAUUGAGCUGCGGCUGGAUCUGUAAUGAAAUACAGCCCUUGUAACUGAUAACCUCCUGCUGCCAUUGAACUUCUACAAUUAAGGAAUAUUUUCUGAGUUUCUCUGGAACGGCUCUGAAUUUUUAGCCUCUGUGGUAGGGUGCUUCUGAACAUUUGUUUUCCAGGCAAUUUUUUUUGAGUAUUAGGCUGAUGUUAAUAAAUAAGCAGCAUUUUAUUGAGUGUUUUGUGGGAACCAGGAACUUUAUAUACAUUGUUUCUAAUCCUGACACUAAUCCUGUCAAUAUCCAGUGAAAUAACCCCUAUUAUUCCCUAUUUUACAGAUGUGAAGCCACGAGACGUUAGGUCAUUUUCUAGAGUGGUGCUGUCCAAGACAGUAGCUGUGAUGGCUCCUUGUGGCUAUUGAUGUGUAAAUUAGUUAAAAUUAAAUAAAUUUUAACAUUUACACCCUAGGUUGCACUAACAAUGAGUUCAAGUGCCCAGCAGCCCCGUGUACUGUGGCUGAUGGCUACCACAUUGGACAGUGCAGAUAUAG
rnacentral:lncRNA from 10 species